CCAACGGCCCUCUUUAGGGCCACACCUGUAUAAGUCGAAUGUUA
rfam:Enterobius vermicularis genome assembly, scaffold: EVEC_scaffold0001259